rnacentral:rRNA from 1 species
UACCAGCACCCCGAGUGGUCGGGACGAUUAUUGGGCCUAAAGCAUCCGUAGCCGGUUCUGCAAGUCCCCCGUUAAAUCCAGCUGCUCAACAGAUGGGCCGCGGAGGAUACUCCGGAGCUAGGAGGCAGGAGAGGCAAGCGGUACUCAGUGGGUAGGGGUAAAAUCCGUUGAUCCAUUGAAGACCACCAGUGGCGAAGGCGGCUUGCCAGAAUGCGCUCGACGGUGAGGGAUGAAAGCUGGGGGAGCAAACCGG